rnacentral:tRNA from 1 species
UGGUGUGUGGCUCAGCGAUUGAGCGUUCACUUUGCACAUGAGAGGUCCUGGGUUCAAUCCUCAGCACCACAU